UACAGAGGGGGCAAGCGUUAUUCGGAUUCAUUGGGCGUAAAGCGCGCGUAGGCGGCUCGGAAAGUCGGUCGUGAAAUGCCGGGGCUCAACCCCGGGACUGCGUCCGAUACUUCCGGGCUGGAGGUAGGUAGGGGAGAUCGGAAUUCCUGGUGUAGCGGUGAAAUGCGCAGAUAUCAGGAGGAACACCGGUGGCGAAGGCGGAUCUCUGGGCCUUACCUGACGCUGAGGCGCGAAAGCUAGGGGAGCGAACAGG
rnacentral:rRNA from 1 species